CCUCUCGUGUCGAGAGAUGUUGGGUUAUGUCCCGCCACGAGCGCAACCCUUGUCCUUAAUUGCCAUCAUUAGGUUGGGCACGGUAAGGAGACUGCCGGUGACAAACCGGAGGAAGGUGGGGAUGACGUCAAGUCCUCAUGGCCCUUAUGGGUAGGGCUUCACACAUGAUACAAUGGGCAGUACAGAGGGUUGCGAAACCCCGAGGUGGAGCCAAUCCCAAAAACCCGGUCUCAGUCCGGAUCGCGGGCUGCAACUCGCCCGCGUGAAGUCGGAAUCGCUAGUAAUCGCGGAUCACCAUGUCUCGGGGAAAACCUUUCCCGGGUCUUGUACACACCG
rnacentral:rRNA from 1 species